rnacentral:SRP_RNA from 3 species
GGCGGGUCUCCCCGCAUGGUUAUUUGGAACACCGGGUCAGGGGCGGAAGCCAGCAGCCCACUCUGAUGCGCCAGUGCCGGGGGUUCGGCUCGCCACC